rnacentral:rRNA from 1 species
ACCGGCGAUUUCCGAAUGGGGAAACCCAGUGUGUUUCGACACACUAUCAUUAACUGAAUCCAUAGGUUAAUGAGGCGAACCGGGGGAACUGAAACAUCUAAGUACCCCGAGGAAAAGAAAUCAACCGAGAUUCCCCCAGUAGCGGCGAGCGAACGGGGAGGAGCCCAGAGCCUGAAUCAGUGUGUGUGUUAGUGGAAGCGUCUGGAAAGGCGCGCGAUACAGGGUGACAGCCCCGUACACAAAAAUGCACAUGCUGUGAGCUCGAUGAGUAGGGCGGGACACGUGGUAUCCUGUCUGAAUAUGGGGGGACCAUCCUCCAAGGCUAAAUACUCCUGACUGACCGAUAGUGAACCAGUACCGUGAGGGAAAGGCGAAAAGAACCCCGGCGAGGGGAGUGAAAAAGAACCUGAAACCGUGUACGUACAAGCAGUGGGAGCACAGAGCAAUCUGUGUGACUGCGUACCUUUUGUAUAAUGGGUCAGCGACUUAUAUUCUGUAGCAAGGUUAACCGAAUAGGGGAGCCGAAGGGAAACCGAGUCUUAACUGGGCGUUAAGUUGCAGGGUAUAGACCCGAAACCCGGUGAUCUAGCCAUGGGCAGGUUGAAGGUUGGGUAACACUAACUGGAGGACCGAACCGACUAAUGUUGAAAAAUUAGCGGAUGACUUGUGGCUGGGGGUGAAAGGCCAAUCAAACCGGGAGAUAGCUGGUUCUCCCCGAAAGCUAUUUAGGUAGCGCCUCGUGAAUUCAUCUCCGGGGGUAGAGCACUGUUUCGGCAAGGGGGUCAUCCCGACUUACCAACCCGAUGCAAACUGCGAAUACCGGAGAAUGUUAUCACGGGAGACACACGGCGGGUGCUAACGUCCGUCGUGAAGAGGGAAACAACCCAGACCGCCAGCUAAGGUCCCAAAGUCAUGGUUAAGUGGGAAACGAUGUGGGAAGGCCCAGACAGCCAGGAUGUUGGCUUAGAAGCAGCCAUCAUUUAAAGAAAGCGUAAUAGCUCACUGGUCGAGUCGGCCUGCGCGGAAGAUGUAACGGGGCUAAACCAUGCACCGAAGCUGCGGCAGCGACACUGUGUGUUGUUGGGUAGGGGAGCGU